rnacentral:rRNA from 2 species
GCUCAGGACGAACGCUGGCGGCGUGCCUAAUACAUGCAAGUCGUGCGGACCUUUUAAAAGCUUGCUUUUAAAAGGUUAGCGGCGGACGGGUGAGUAACACGUGGGCAACCUGCCUGUAAGAUCGGGAUAACGCCGGGAAACCGGGGCUAAUACCGGAUAGUUUUUUCCUCCGCAUGGAGGAAAAAGGAAAGRCGGCUUCGGCUGUCACUUACAGAUGGGCCCGCGGCGCAUUAGCUAGUUGGUGGGGUAACGGCYCACCAAGGCAACGAUGCGUAGCCGACCUGAGAGGGUGAUCGGCCACAUUGGGACUGAGACACGGCCCAAACUCCUACGGGAGGCAGCAGUAGGGAAUCUUCCGCAAUGGACGAAAGUCUGACGGAGCAACGCCGCGUGAGUGAAGAAGGCCUUCGGGUCGUAAAACUCUGUUGCCGGGGRAGAACAAGUGCCGUUCGAACAGGGCGGCGCYKACG